AAGAAAACAAGCAAACAGAUGCACAGGGGAUAUAUCCAUUGUUUCCUUACACAGUGUCCCCAUUUGUCGUUUGGUUUAAAUCAGGCCCCACCAAUCCAUCAUAAGGUUGCAGUGUGUUUCAUCUAAUGCCUUGGAAUUAUGGGAAUCUUCAUUCGGAUGAGCGCUUGGUCAAAGAGCAGAGCGGGGUCAAUGAAAAAUUAAUUGAAAGCAACCUGUAAGGCUUCCUAUAUGGGAUGACAGCUCCCUCCCCAUUAGGGAGGAUGUCUGUGAUAUAAACAACUCCUUUGUAUUCUUCACAAUAGGUUGGCUGCUUAGGAGUGAGUUCGUCUUCCCAAGCUGUCCAGCCACAAAGGAACUGGAAACUGCUGGUACAGAAUGGACAGGCUUUAUUAUUGGAACACAGGAAAACUUUAUCACCCUGCUGGGAUG